rnacentral:rRNA from 1 species
CAGUAGCCGCGGGAAUACGGAGGGUGCAAGCGUUAAUCGGAAUUACUGGGCGUAAAGCGCACGCAGGCGGUCUGACAAGUCAGAUGUGAAAUCCCCGGGCUUAACCUGGGAACUGCAUUUGAAACUGUCAGGCUGGAGUCUUGUAGAGGGGGGUGGAAUUCCAGGUGUAGCGGUGAAAUGCGUAGAGAUCUGGAGGAAUACCGGUGGCGAAGGCGGCCCCCUGGACAAAGACUGACGCUCAGGUGCGAAAGCGUGGGGAGCAAACAGGAUUAGAGACCCCGGUAGUCCCUGUCUCUUAUAC